UAUGAAGGUGGCACGUGGGGAGUCAGGUGUGCAUAGAGGUGUUGGAGGUGUGGUGUGGCAGUGUGUAUGUGGGGAGCUGGUAGAUAUGGUAGGAGGUGGAUGUGUCCUUACCACUGUGUGUUGGUGGAGCUGACUGUGGAGAAUUUCAGUGUGGUUCAGUUCACAGGGCAUUUCAUAACUAUUGCUCCUUAAAUAAAGUUUAAAAUUUCUAAUAUAGCACUCCCCACAACCCAAACCCAUUCAUGUCAUUAUAUGAAAGACACAUAGAUGUUAGUCUAUAUCUAAAUCUAAGUCUAAAGUAGCUAUGCCUAGCAACGCUAACAGCAUUGGUUGACAAGAAUAUGGACAAUGCCCUUGUCUCUCUUCAGAACACUCCAUGUUUUCUUCAAGGGGUAUGCACUAGUGUGUUAAAAUCUCAGCAAACUCGAAGGGACCCUACCAGUCUUCUCGUGCAGCAUUUCCAUUUUUUUUUUUUUUAAAAAAAGAGGGAUUUCUUGUGGCUACUCUCUCAGGGUCCCCUGAUCAGGAUGUCCAGGGUCCACUCACCCCAGUCUGAGUGAGGAUGCAGGAGACCCUGGGGAGUGAGAAACAGUACCUGUGACCAGCUCCCACACCCAUUCGGGAGCCAUCCAUGAGAGGUCCAGACACCUAAUGUUGCAGUGCAGCUCACUGUGGAAACUUCUAGAGCAGAGAUUUGUGUAAAGAGCUGUGGGAGCUCAGUGUGUGUAUGUGUGUGUGUUGGGGGGGGGGGCGGAGAGUCCUGCCCAGUGCAGGAGGGAUAUUAGGACUCUCCCCCUUCCUUGCUUCCUUCUUUCUCCUUUGCUGUGUUGAGACCCAUUCUCCCUGGCCUCGGGACCUCCUUCUUCAGGUUCUUUCUUGCUGACCUGGUUCCUUUUCACAAGCAGGUAGUGAGAGAUGAAUGGGGCUGUAAAUAGCAUACGGCAGUGAUGGGUGGGUAAGGAGCUCGACGGGUGGAGGGACCAGCACGGGCAGAGGCUGUUCCGUUUGAUCUGCCUUUUACAGCUUCCCCCAGGAUCCCACAAAGUCAGGAACUUUGAAAUAGUUAAUGAGGGGGAAAAAAAAAAAAGACAUGUUAUUAAAGCAGUUUGGUAAGCCGGAGCGUUGAGGCGGCUGUGUUUCUAGUGUUGGAAGGGCCCACAUUAUCUUGGAUAUUAUAUUCUCUGCUCUGAUAACUAAGCCAUCGUUCCUGAAAUGAAUGCCUUUGAAUGAGGAAAAAAUGCACAAAGAAAAAUACACCUUUGGAUUGAAAUGUUCUCCUUCUGUUUCGCAUCCAAGGUGCCCUCCUUCCACAGCCCUCUGCCCUGCAGCUCACAGGCUCUUCUCACAUAUUUGCCGGGAGAGCAUCUGAAUGUAUCAGCACAGAACAUUCCUCUUAUCUUUUCCCAAGGCAACUGAUUUGAGGGCCAAGGCCAACAGAGUGUCCAGGAGCUCAGAUCAAGCCUCAGGCAUGGCCCUGUGCUCACCAGAACACAGGAGGCCUCUGGGGCUGGCCUGGGAUGCUUCUCACCACCGAGGGGACAUGCGACUCUGGGCUUCAGGCCUGGAUGCCAAGCAAGAGUCUGCAGUCUGCUGUGACAGUCCAGGGGUCCUGCUCAAUGAGAUUGUUUGCUGCUUGGAAGAGGGCAACUCAGAUAACCAUUCUGGGCUUCUUCUGCUCCAGUGUGAUUUGAGGAAACUGCAUUCAGGUCUGUCAGUCCCACAGCCUAAGCCAAAUCAAGGUCAAGGCUCUCUUGGUACACUACACCUUUUACGGCUGUAUAGUCCUCAAAUUUCCUAUUUUAAAUGUUAUGAAUUUUUUCUAAUUGUUAUUAGUUAAACAAAAGGCUAAAGAUCCGAAUGCCUGGGCACUUCCUUCAGGGCCUGCAGGUGAGAAAUGGGGAGGCUGACCCUCGUGCGGAGGUGGUUUAUGGAGGGAGACAGAAGAGACCUUAAGGACCUGCUGAAGAUAGGACAUGGGGAACAGGGGGCUCUCCAGAUCCUGGAAGCACGAGGGCAGGAGAGCUUCCUCCACCCUCCCCUUCCUACCCCUGACUGUUUGGAGGGCAUCCUUCAAGCUCAGCUCAGAUUUCAGUCCUGCUCGGAAACCUCUGAUUUGCUCCUCUGCCCCCAGAGGGUUCAGAGUGAUUUCUUUGCACUUCUGGAGCCUGUCCUAGCUCUAGUCAUGCCUCCAUAUUGCAGACUAACUGUGGCUCACAUGUCCAGCUCACUUCUCCAGGGUGAGUUCUAGACUGGCUUCUUCCUGGAUUCCCCUUCCUGGCAGAGAGCAGUGAUCAUGGUGAUGGGAGUGUCAUACUACUAAAAAUGAAAUAAGAGUUGAUCCUAUUCGUCGAAGAUGUCUAUGGGGCAGCGUGAGGUGCUGGAACUUGCAGGAACUCAUUUAAUCCUCACAAAAAUGCUUCAUGUUAGUUCUUUGUAUAACUUGCUGAUGAUCACACAGCUGACAAGGUGCAGGGGCCCCCACCAGGGCUUCCAAGCCCAUGUUCUUUGCAUUGACCGAGGGGUGUUGAAGGAAACCAAGGGCUGGCAGUCCAGAGCUGACCUGGAGACUUGUAUGGAUCAGAGGCAAAGGGAUUUAUUUAUUUGUUUGUUUCUUUAUUUGGCUUCACUCCAUUUACUGAGAUCCUAGACACUGCCAUUUUUGCUUUUAGUGUCCCAGAACCCCGGGUGCCUUGAGAUGGCUAAUGUGUCAGAGGACCAGCCUUCACAAUGGCUAGGCUGCCUUUCCUCCGGCCCCUUUGUUCUCAUGAGGCCUCACAGCCGCUGUGGGUGACAUCAGAAGCUAAUGAUCUUGGAGCAAAUAGCACCAAAUAUACCAGCAAUUUAAUUCUAGCUUCAACCAUGGCUGGCUAUUUAAGGAAAAGAUGGAUGAGCUAAGAAUGAUCUGGGUCAGUGCCCGGCAGUGGGGGUCAUCUGCUGCAGCCUGCAAUUCUUCGGGAAGCUCUAGUAGAAUGAUGACCCACAGGGUAGGUGCUUUCCUUUUACUAGGAAACGACACUUUGCAAGGUCCUCUGUCCCAUGGAUACAUACUUAUCUAGAUCCACUGAUACCCAUUGAAUAUCUAAUGCAGGGCCUUUAUGUGGAUGGAAUUUCCUGAAGUGUUCAAAUGUGUUCUUUCAUUUGCUAUUGACUACCCCCCUCCCCCGACCCCAAGUUCUCUAGUGGUCAUCCUGGUGGUUUUGGGCUGUGUCCUCUCUUUGCCCUUGUCUCUGAGCCUGUUCUCUCUCCAAGGCUACAAGUCCAGCCAGAACCCAACUGGAUUCUUCCUCCCUAUGGGAGUGUUAGGCAAUUCCACGGAGCACACUGCUCUCUGCCUCAGGAUGUUAACGUGACCAGUCCUGGAGGCUGCCUCUGACAGCUACUGAAUUUUAGGUUUUGUGUUCAGAGGAUCUGCCUGGGGGAGACUACGCUAAUUCAUUUCAAUCCUGCUUCCUUGUUGAAGCAGGAAAUAUAAUAUAACGACUAUGGGAGUGGAAGUGUAACUGAAUCAAUAUGGGAGUGAAAUGGUGACCUUAAGGAGUCACGUCCCCAGUACAUCAGUUUUGGGUAUUUCCCUGUGUUGUUUGCAAGUGAGGAGCAUUUUCUACUGUGAACAUCUACUAAAUAUUAAAAAAGCAACACUAAUCCUCAAGGUAUCUUGCUAGCCCCAUAUGUAUCAGGUGUAGAGGAAGUUGCUCUCGUUUGGGUUGAGAUACAUUUGAUAUUAUUUACCAGCUAAAAUUCCAUUAUGGGUCUGCCUAGCCUCCCGCAUUUACACAUAAUUUGGAACUGAGUACACUUGCCCGCAUUGACUAAAGGAGGGUCACAGUUAACUUUGUGAGUUACCCUAACCCAAAGCAGAUUUAGGUCCUUAAGACAUCUUCUUCCUCCUUCUUCUCCUCCUCCCCCUCCUCCUUCUCCACCUUCUCCUCCUUCUUCUUUUAAGAUUUAUUUUUAUUUUUAUUUUUUUGAGAUUGACAGAAGGAGGGAGAGAGAGAGAGAGAGACUGGGAGGGGCCCAGGGAGAGGGAGAACCUCAGGCAGACUCUCUCUGAGCACAGAGGUGGGGCUCCAUGACCUGAGCUGAAAUCAAGAACUGGAUGCUUUAGUCCCCCAGGAACCCCAAUGAUAUCAAUCUUCUGAGCAGCUUCAGAAUCACUGUCAUAGAGCUUGAAGAGAUUUUGGAAAUCACCGUGAGAUGGGUUCUACCCCAACGUAACUGACAUUUUUCUUUUUAGCUUUACAGUGCAAAAGGGAUAUAAAGCUGGUGUUAAUGCCAGGAAUCGCUCUAGAGGUGCCAGGGCCUGCUCCUGGCUUAGCUGGUAAUGGAUCAGCCAUGCUGCCCACGCAUGAGACUGCUGUCAUUCCUGAAGAUACGCAUUCCAAGAAAUUACCUUAAGAUUUGUUUCACCAUUAAAGUGACAUUCUCAGCUGUGCUCCAAUCAACUGGAUAAAAGCAGAGAACCCAUCAGAAGUUGUUCCUGGUUGACUAUCACCUUUCAAAGAUCCUUCUUCAAGUUCUGAUGCUCUGUAGCACCCUCCUCAGCCCUGCUUGGGAAGCACAACAUUUCUCCCUGAGCCAUCAAUAGAGACUCCUGGUUUCUUCCUUAUCCCAUCCAUACCCCAUCCAGUUUCUAUAGUGCCAGUGACUGAUUUCUGCAGAUGCAACAUUGUGGUACAGUUCCAGAAGGGCUCCCUGCCGACCACAGAGUAGACACCACAAGCCAGCGUCUGCCAUUUGAGAAGCAUCCUGGGGAGACCUACCUUUCUAGACCCACGUCCUGAUCAUCAGCCCCCUCCCCAACACCAUGUGCCCAAGCCACGCCAGGCUCGUGGUUUCCUGAACUUGCAGAAUUUUCCUUCUAUGCUUCCAAGCCUUUGUACGAUCACUGCUCCGAUGGAUGUCUUGACUACAGUUUCAUGUGGGACCCUGAGCCAGAGCCACCUGGCUAAGCUGUUUCCAGGUUCCUGGCCCAUGGCACUGGGAUAAAUGAACGUCAUUUUUAAGCUGCUAAUUGGGGGAAAUCUGUUAUCGGGCAAUGGAUUUCCCUCUCUGGCUUGCUACUGUCAUGAGAUCAGUAGAGGAAUACAAGCAGCCUACCCCUGUGUAGCUCAGAGGAGGCAAGCCCAUGAGCCCAACAGCCAUGACAGAACGGCCCUCAACACACUUGACGCCGUGAGCUUCGUGCCAGCAUCCUUCACAUCAGUGUCUACACGUCUUCAACAAAUGGGUACUUAGAGGCAUUGUUGUGCUCUCAUCAAGUUUAGGAAGGGACAGCGUGCAAAUGAAAAGAGACAGGACGUGCAACAAAUGUGACAUGAGGUAGAGAAAGCAGAAACAGCUGAGGGCCUUGCUGAGCGAAAUGCAUCUGUAGUCUCUGAGCCGGCCUUUCUGCUUCUCUCUGUCAGAAAGGGACAGCAGCACAGAGAGGACAAUGGAUAUUUUGAGAAGAGGAUGGCUGUUCUGAAAGUCCUCACAAAAAGUAGAAUGUGUCCAUGUUCCUGUGGUUUGUGUGGUAGCCAUCGACCAAGAGGUCGGGACCCUGUGAGGUUGGAUGGGAGCCAUGGCUUGGGUUUUCGGCCUGCUGCCUUGCCGUUGCUCCAUGUCCGUUGUAGCGGUCUGUGAGGCCAUUUCAGGAGGAACAAUGGAGAAAGGCAGCAAAAUCUCCUGGUGUCUAACCUCUUCUCUGUGAUCUGCAAGCCCACAGCCUUGCAUGGGAAUGUGGCCCCAGGUGUACUGCUUCCCUUUCUUCUCUCUCUUCUCCCUUUCUCCUGCCACCAUGACCAGGGUCCCCCAGGUCUGACAGUUCCUGGGGACCUGCUCUGUAUGUUUUCACUGUUCACACCUUUCCUGAGCAAUGAAAACUUGUGUAUCUUUAUGCAUCCUCCCUUACACCCUACUCAACGUGUUUUCUCACCCGGGAGCAUUAUUACUAUAAGCCUAUCCUCAUGGAAUGAAAAGAUUCUCAGACAUCUGGGUGGCUCAGUCGGGUAAGCAUCUGCCUUCAGCUCAGGUCAAGAUCUUGGGGUCCUGGGAUCGAGCCCCCAUUGGGCUCCCUGCUCAGCAAAGAGACUGAUUUUCCUUCUCCUCCUCACUUGUGCUCUCUCCCACUGUCUCUGUCUCUCUCUCUCA